AUGCGCAUGAGGGGUCAUUCCGCUGAUGGCUUUACUUACGACCCAUGGUACGAGCCUUAUAUUCGGAGAUUGGGUCUUCUCCCAUUCGUGUUGCAGUUUAAGCGACGCGCUCCGCCGGUGAACCACGCGGCGUUGACCGCACUUGUGGAUCGUUGGAGGCCGGAGACUCACUCGUUCCACCUUCCAUGUGGGGAGCUGACGAUGACCCUAGAGGACAUGGCUAUGAUAAGCGGCCUUCCUAUCGACGGAGAAGCUGUUACCGGUCGUGUCAGCGUUGUUAAUUGGCGAGAACGGACAAGCAUUUUAAUUGGUGUCAGCCCGACGACCCUCAAGAAGGCAAGGCCGAUACCAUGA
rnacentral:rRNA from 1 species